UCGGGAAUUUUGGGCAAUGGGCGAAAGCCUGACCCAGCAACGCCGCGUGAAGGAUGAAGCUUUUCGGAGUGUAAACUUCAUAAGAAUGGGACGAAUAAAGAGGGGCUAACACCCCCUCCUAUGACGGUACCAUUUGUAAGCUCCGGCUAACUCCGUGCCAGCAGCCGCGGUAAUACGGGGGGAGCAAGCGUUGUUCGGAUUUACUGGGCGUAAAGGGCGCGUAGGCGGCGCAACAAGUCACUUGUGAAAUCUCCGGGCUUAACCCGGAGCGGCCAAGUGAUACUGUCGUGCUAGAGUGCGGAAGGGGCUACUGGAAUUCUCGGUGUAGCGGUGAAAUGCGUAGAUAUCGAGAGGAACACCUGCGGCGAAGGCGGGUAGCUGGGCCGACACUGACGCUGAGGCGCGAAAGCCAGGGGAGCGAACGGG
rnacentral:rRNA from 1 species